rnacentral:RNase_P_RNA from 1 species
UUGGCUGGAUGAGGAUCAUAGGAGCCACGUAAAAGUAAAUAUUUGCUUUAAAAUGCUCCUGGGAAGGUCUGAGAAAUGGCCCACACCUUUUGGGUGUUAUCUCCGAGAAGGGGAAGUCUCAAGUUGAGGCUGGCGCUGUACUGGAAAGGCUAUCGGUCAGCUGCUGUUAAUUUUGUGCAAAGGGAAAAGACGUCCUUUCAAGGGAUUGAUCCCAGCAUUUAAUUAACAUUGGGAAACAGCGUUGGUGCUAGCUUUUGUUGAGUGCGAUGAUCCUUUCCCAAACACAAUUCAGACUACUCUCCGGCCAA